AGCUCUAAUAGCGUAUAUUAAUUUUGUUGCAGUUAAAAAGCUCGUAGUUGGAUUUCUUCUAUGCGUAAAGGGUCUUUGAUGCUGUCAUAUUGUUUCUACAACUUGGCCAUCUUCCUUUUGCAUAGAAUUUACUUGAGAUUGUCGUACGGUGGGUGCGUCUCUGUCUGCCUUAAUUGGUAGGCUUGGGUGCAUUCGUGUGCAUUUGGCAGUCUCAUCGUUUACUGUGAAAAAAUCAAAGCGUUCAAAGCAGGCUUAAUGCUCUCUGAAUGUCUCAGCAUGGAAUAAUAAAAUAAGAUACGUCUUUAUUUUGUUGGUUUACAAAGAUAUAUAAUGAUCAACAGGAACAGUUGGGGGGAUUUGUAUUCAAAUGUCAGAGGUGAAAUUCUUGGAUUUUUUGAAG
rnacentral:rRNA from 1 species